AUUGAACGCUGGCGGCAGGCCUAACACAUGCAAGUCGAACGAGUGGCGGACGGGUGAGUAAUGUCUGGGAAACUGCCCGAUGGAGGGGGCUAACUACUGGAAACGGUAGCUAAUACCGCAUACCAUCGGAUGUGCCCAGAUGGGAUUAGCUAGUAGGUGGGGUAACGGCUCCCCUAGGCGACGAUCCCUAGCUGGUCUGAGAGGAUGACCAGCCACACUGGAACUGAGACACGGUCCAGACUCCUACGGGAGGCAGCAGUGGGGAAGAUUGCACAAUGGGCGCAAGCCGGAUGCAGCCAUGCAGAGUGUAUGAAGAAGGCCUUCGGGUUGGAAAGUACUUUAAGCGAGGAGGCGUUACUCGCAGAAGAAGCACCGGCGAACUCCGUGCCAGCAGCCGCGGUAAUUG
rnacentral:rRNA from 1 species